rnacentral:rRNA from 1 species
UACAGAGACUGCGAGCGUUAUUCGGAUUCACUGGGCGUAAAGGGUGCGCAGGUGGCUAGGUGUGUUAGGCGUGAAAGCCCGGGGCUUAACCCCGGAAUUGCACCUAAAACUACUUGGCUAGAGCAUUGGAGAGGGGAGCAGAAUUCAUGGUGUAGCAGUGAAAUGCGUAGAUGUCAUGAGGAAUACCAGAGGCGAAGGCGGCUCCCUGGACAAUUGCUGACACUCAGGCACGAAAGCGUGGGGAGCAAAAGGG